rnacentral:rRNA from 1 species
AAUUUUGGACAAUGGGGGAAACCCUGAUCCAGCCAUCCCGCGUGUGUGAUGAAGGCCNNNGGGUUNUCAAGCACUUUUGACAGNGAANAAAUAGCAGGGGCUAAUAUCCUCUGUGAAUGACGGUACCUGUAGAAUAAGCACCGGCUAACUACGUGCCAGCAGCCGCGGUAAUACGUAGGGUGCAAGCGUUAAUCGGAAUUACUGGGCGUAAAGGGUACGCAGGCGGCUAGGAAAGAAAGAUGUGAAAUCCCAGGGCUCAUCCUUGGAACUGCAUUUUUAACUACCUAGCUAGAGUAUGUCAGAGGGGGGUAGAAUUCCACGUGUAGCAGUGAAAUGCGUAGAGAUGUGGAGGAAUACCGAUGGCGAAGGCAGCCCCCUGGGAUAAUGCUGACGCUCAGGUACGAAAGCGUGGGGAGCAAACA